rnacentral:rRNA from 1 species
UACGGAGGGGGCUAGCGUUGUUCGGAAUUACUGGGCGUAAAGCGCACGUAGGCGGCUUUGUAAGUUAGAGGUGAAAGCCCGGGGGCUCAACUCCGGAAUUGCCUUUAAGACUGCAUCGCUAGAAUUGUGGAGAGGUGAGUGGAAUUCCGAGUGUAGAGGUGAAAUUCGUAGAUAUUCGGAAGAACACCAGUGGCGAAGGCGGCUCACUGGACCGGCAUUGACGCUGAGGUGCGAAAGCGUGGGGAGCAAACAGG